rnacentral:rRNA from 1 species
UACGAAGGGGGCUAGCGUUGCUCGGAAUCACUGGGCGUAAAGCGCACGUAGGCGGACUCUUAAGUCGGUGGUGAAAUCCUGGAGCUCAACUCCAGAACUGCCUCCGAUACUGCGAGUCUCCGAGUCCGGGAGAGGUGAGUGGAACUGCGAGUGUAGAGGUGAAAUGCGCAGAUAUCAGGAAGAACACCUAUGGCGAAGGCAGCUCUCUGGGACGGUACUGACGCUGAGACGCGAAAGCGUGGGGAGCGAACAGG